CCCUGCAUCCGAAAGUGGUCUUGGCUGCUUGUGCCGAGGUCAUUGGUAAUGCAGGGAAAGGAUGCUGAAAGACAUGUUCCUAGCUCAGGGCGUCUAUCCUGACCCCUUCAGAUCCUGGAGCUUUCCUACA